UGAUGGCAGGUGAAAAAGUUGACAAGCCAGAUACUAAGGAGAAGAAACCCAAAGCUAAGAAGUCUGACGCUGGUAGCAAGGUGAAAAAGGGUACCCUCAAGGCUAAAAAGCCCAAGAGGAGAAAGCCCCAUUGCAGCUGAAACUCUGUCCUUGUCAAAGGAAUUGCCAGAUAUUCCCAAUCUGCUAUGUAUUCCAGAAAGGCCAUGUACAAGAGGAAGUACUCUGCCGCUAAAUCCAAGGUUGAAAAGAAAAAGGAGAAGGUUCUUGCAACUGUUGCAAAACCAAUUGAUGAUAACAAGAAUAGCAGUACCAGGUUGGUUAAACUUCUCAAAGGGCCUAGAUAUUAUCCUACUAAAGAUAUGACUCGAAAGAUUUUGAGCCAUGUCAAAAAUCCCUUCAGUCAGCACGUGAGAAAACUGUGAGCCAGCAUCACCCGUGGGACCAUUCUGAUCAUCCUCACUAGGUGCCACAGAGGCAACAGGGUGGUUUUCUUGAAGUAGCUGGCUAGUGACCUGUUACUUAUGACUGGACCUCUGGUCCUCGAUCGAGUUCCUCUACAAAGAGCACGUUGGAAAUUUGUCAUUGCCACCUCAACCAAAAUUGAUGUCAGCAAUGUGAAAAUCCAAAAACAUCUUACUGACAUUUACUUCAAGAAGAAGAAGCUACAGAAGCCCAGACACCAGGAAGGUGAGAUCUUCAACACAGAAAGAGAGAAAUACGAGAUUACAGAGCAGUGCAAAGUUGAUCGGAAAACUGUGGACUCAAAAAUUUUACCAAACUCAAAGCUAUUCCUCAGCUCCAGGGCUACCUGUGAUCUGUGUUUGCCCUGAUGAAUGGAAUUUAUCCUCACUAAUUAGUGUUCUAA
rnacentral:lncRNA from 1 species